UACGUAGGUCCCGAGCGUUGUCCGGAUUUAUUGGGCGUAAAGCGAGCGCAGGUGGUUUAUUAAGUCUGGUGUAAAAGGCAGUGGCUCAACCAUUGUAUGCAUUGGAAACUGGUAGACUUGAGUGCAGGAGAGGAGAGUGGAAUUCCAUGUGUAGCGGUGAAAUGCGUAGAUAUAUGGAGGACCACCGGUGGCGAAAGCGGCUCUCUGGCCUGUAACUGACACUGGGGCUCGAAAGCGUGGGGAGCAAACAGG
rnacentral:rRNA from 1 species